rnacentral:rRNA from 1 species
CCGUCGUGAAGAGGGAAACAACCCAGACCGCCAGCUAAGGUCCCAAAGUCAUGGUUAAGUGGGAAACGAUGUGGGAAGGCCCAGACAGCCAGGAUGUUGGCUUAGAAGCAGCCAUCAUUUAAAGAAAGCGUAAUAGCUCACUGGUCGAGUCGGCCUGCGCGGAAGAUGUAACGGGGCUAAACCAUGCACCGAAGCUGCGGCAGCGACACUCAGGUGUUGUUGGGUAGGGGAGCGUUCUGUAAGCCUGCGAAGGUGGCCUGUGAGGGUUGCUGGAGGUAUCAGAAGUGCGAAUGCUGACAUAAGUAACGAUAAAGCGGGUGAAAAGCCCGCUCGCCGGAAGACCAAGGGUUCCUGUCCAACGUUAAUCGGGGCAGGGUGAGUCGACCCCUAAGGCGAGGCCGAAAGGCGUAGUCGAUGGGAAACGGGUUAAUAUUCCCGUACUUGGUGUUACUGCGAAGGGGGGACGGAGAAGGCUAUGUUGGCCGGGCGACGGUUGUCCCGGUUUAAGCGUGUAGGUGUGUGUUCCAGGUAAAUCCGGUUCACUUUAACACUGAGGCGUGAUGACGAGGCACUACGGUGCUGAAGCAACAAAUGCCCUGCUUCCAGGAAAAGCCUCUAAGCAUCAGGUAACAUCAAAUCGUACCCCAAACCGACACAGGUGGUCAGGUAGAGAAUACCAAGGCGCUUGAGAGAACUCGGGUGAAGGAACUAGGCAAAAUGGUGCCGUAACUUCGGGAGAAGGCACGCUGACACGUAGGUGAAGUGAUUUACUCAUGGAGCUGAAGUCAGUCGAAGAUACCAGCUGGCUGCAACUGUUUAUUAAAAACACAGCACUGUGCAAACACGAAAGUGGACGUAUACGGUGUGACGCCUGCCCGGUGCCGGAAGGUUAAUUGAUGGGGUCAGCGCAAGCGAAGCUCCUGAUCGAAGCCCCGGUAAACGGCGGCCGUAACUAUAACGGUCCUAAGGUAGCGAAAUUCCUUGUCGGGUAAGUUCCGACCUGCACGAAUGGCGUAAUGAUGGCCAGGCUGUCUCCACCCGAGACUCAGUGAAAUUGAACUCGCUGUGAAGAUGCAGUGUACCCGCGGCAAGACGGAAAGACCCCGUGAACCUUUACUAUAGCUUGACACUGAACAUUGAGCCUUGAUGUGUAGGAUAGGUGGGAGGCUUUGAAGUGUGGACGCCAGUCUGCAUGGAGCCGGCCUUGAAAUACCACCCUUUAAUGUUUGAUGUUCUAACGUGGACCCGUGAUCCGGGUUGCGGACAGUGUCUGGUGGGUAGUUUGACUGGGGCGGUCUCCUCCUAAAGAGUAACGGAGGAGCACGAAGGUUGGCUAAUCCUGGUCGGACAUCAGGAGGUUAGUGCAAUGGCAUAAGCCAGCUUGACUGCGAGCGUGACGGCGCGAGCAGGUGCGAAAGCAGGUCAUAGUGAUCCGGUGGUUCUGAAUGGAAGGGCCAUCGCUCAACGGAUAAAAGGUACUCCGGGGAUAACAGGCUGAUACCGCCCAAGAGUUCAUAUCGACGGCGGUGUUUGGCACCUCGAUGUCGGCUCAUCACAUCCUGGGGCUGAAGUAGGUCCCAAGGGUAUGGCUGUUCGCCAUUUAAAGUGGUACGCGAGCUGGGUUUAGAACGUCGUGAGACAGUUCGGUCCCUAUCUGCCGUGGGCGCUGGAGAACUGAGGGGGGCUGCUCCUAGUACGAGAGGACCGGAGUGGACGCAUCACUGGUGUUCGGGUUGUCAUGCCAAUGGCACUGCCCGGUAGCUAAAUGCGGAAGAGAUAAGUGCUGAAAGCAUCUAAGCACGAAACUUGCCCCGAGAUGAGUUCUCCCUGAGACUUUAGGUCUCCUGAAGGAACGUUGAAGACGACGACGUUGAUAGGCCGGGUGUGUAAGCGCAGCGAUGCGUUGAGCUAACCGGUACUAAUGAACCGUGAGGCUUAACCUU